CUGAAGUUAUGCAUGAAAUUGUAUAUGUAUAACUUGUAAAGAUCAUUUCUCACUACUCAAAUAUUGUUUCUUCACAGCUGUGGAAGCUAUGCGCUAUGCUCUCUCUCUCUCUCUCUCUCUCAGAAAUUAGAAUGAAGAGAGGUGUGCCCCUUUCUGCAGGACCUGUGGCCCUUAUCAUUCUAGUUGUGCGCUAGCUCUUCAUCAAACUUGCAGUGCCAAGGAUGCAAAUCGGCACUGUGUUCCUUCUUCCUGCGGCAAUAUCCCCAACAUUAGCUCUCCAUUUGGAUUGGAACACGAUCCUCCAAACUGCGGCAACCCAAGCAGGUCUGGUGCAUGAGCCAUCUUUUGCUGUUGUGCCAUUCACUGCAUCCUUUGGUGUAUCGGCCAGAGUAGCGUCCUUAAUACAUAUUAUAGAAAGUGGGGAAUCAGAGAAACCAUGGUUUUGUUGAACUGUGAAAAGCGAGUGAAUUCCCCAGGGUAUCUGAACACAUCUACUUGCUUUGGCAAUAGAUCGUAUGCUUCCAACUCAUCUUCAUCCCAACCUGAGGUCGGGUUUAGAUGUGUGAUAUAUAGCCAGAUGAACACAGGGGAUGUGGAGGACUUGUGCCAAGUAGAGCAUAUAUUCCAGACAUCGUGGUCAGUCCGCAAUCUGGUACUAGAAGACCCAAGUAGUAUUUCCUGCACAGACUUACACAACCUAUUGCUAUACGGUUUUGAGCUUUCUUGGAUGACCCCUACAGAUUGUGGAAAGUGCGGCAUCUUCGAGUUCAGCGAACAACGUCGCUUUUGCUGAAAAAGCCAUACGGGAAUCCUUGGAAUACCAUUUUGGGUUUACAAUGGUGAGGUAAAUUUUUAUCUCAAAAUUGAUCACAAUGAAAAGCUUGAUAUAUAUCUUUAAUUUAUGAAUAUAUCUUAUUAAUUAAUAUAUCAACAUUUCAUAUUCCUUAUCCUCCUAUGCCUAUAAAAUGGUGUAUUAAGGAUUAUUUGUGCAAGUUACAAGAAAUUUAAAGUGAAUGAUAUUCAGUUCAUGAUACCCCAAAAUUGUGGUAUGCCCUGACAAAUUACCGAUUCUCUAAUUCUACGUAGCACAAAUGUAUAAGUCUUGAUAUUUGGAAGGAAGAUAGUUGGUUAACACAAGAUUUUAAAGGCUUUGAUAUAGGAAUUAUAGUUUUCUGUUAAGAUCUAUUCUACCGAGGUCUACAAACAAAUCAAUUUUUAAGUUUAGCUCUAAUUCUAGUUUUUGUUACUUUUAAUUACAUAAUUUAAUAGUUCAAACUCUACUGAAAUAUAGGGA